UCACCAAUACCGGUGCUGAACUCUCGUGGGUCUGCAGUAUUUUCAAUCAGUCAUGUAGCACCAUGAGAUUCAGCUCCGGUGUUUGGUAC
rnacentral:pre_miRNA from 1 species